CAGGAACUGCCCCAGUGGCUGAGAGUUGAAUUUGGGCAAAAUCAUAACAGCUGGGGAACAGCAGAAAGGCAGGAGGAGCUGAGUUGUGCUCUAGGAACGAAUCCCUCACAUUUGGGCUGCAGAGUAAGGAGUCCCUCAUUCACUCUGUGACCUUAUGCUGGGUGACAGCCCGGGACAGCAAACCAUUCCCUGGGGAAAGCACUGUUCCACGAGCCUGUGAAGCCAGCCCUUGUCUCCUGAUGGCUCCAGCUUUGGUGGCUAAUCUCUGGAGCCUUUUCCCAAACACUGCAAAUUGUUGGAAAUCCUUAUUCCAAAGAGCUUGCAGUCAGAAUCAAAAGAAGAUGGAGGCAGUUCAAAAGAAACAAGGACAAGACAAAUUUAAGCAUAUGUGAUAUUGAAGAUGUCAUUAGUUGUAAAUAAUGAUUUGCUUGACCUUGGCACUGCUCCCAGGAAGUCACACCAGGCUCAAGAAUGCAACACGAUGACGCACAACUUGAAAAUCCUGUGUCAAACCCCACCUGGUUCCUGUUAGCUGAAGGUCUUGCUGACACUGCUCAUUUGUUCUUCACUGGACUGAAGACUCAUGAACUCAUUGAAGAAUGCAGCUUGAUGGAACUGCUUGGCAAACCCUGAUAGUUUUAAAAGAUUUAAUAAAUUGCUAAUUAAAGGAGGAGAAAAAGCUCAGAAAUGUCUGCAAACAUGCACAUUGGUUUUUUUCAACAUUUUGUAACUUAACCUCCUGUAGACCAUCUGACCCAUCAGCUUUGUUUGCUAUUGCUGAAAAACUGGGAUUGAACUUCAUGAAUGAACUUUGAGUUUGCUAUGAUUGCUGCAUACUGCUGAUGGAGAAAGCAGGGCUAAAAUGCUGCUUGAAGGGAUACAGGAAGCUGGAGGACCUGGUGAUAAUAAUUAGCAUCUCUUGAGGAGUGACUCCAUGGUCCUGAGCUGACCACCAAGGUAAAUAGAAAUCCUCUGAGCCAAGCUUCUCUCCUCUGGUUGUGCAUGUGAGCUUUGAUGAAGAAACAGUUGUAAUUUUCAAGUUUGAUGCAUCUAAUGAACCUCUCCUCCUC